rnacentral:rRNA from 1 species
GCUAGUAAUGGCAGGUCAGCAUACUGCCGUGAAUACGUUCCCGGGCCUUGUACACACCGCCCGUCACACCAUGAGAGUUGGGGAUACCCGAAGCCUGUGAGCUAACUAUUUAUAGGAGCAGCAGUCGAAGGUAGAAUCAAUGAUUGGGGUGAAGUCGUAACAAGGUAUC